UUCUAGCCCCGAUAGUAGUGAAAAUCCUUUUGUGCCGGGGUUCGGCACAAAAGAUUAAAACGGAUAGCGGGAAUAGCU
rnacentral:sRNA from 1 species